rnacentral:rRNA from 1 species
CUCCUACGGGGGGCAGCAGUGAGGAAUAUUGGUCAAUGGCCGAGAGGCUGAACCAGCCAAGUCGCGUGAGGGAAGAAUGUCCUAUGGAUUGUAAACCUCUUUUGUCAGGGAGCAAAGUCACCCACGUGUGGGUGUUGGAGAGUACCUGAAGAAAAAGCAUCGGCUAACUCCGUGCCAGCAGCCGCGGUAAUACGGAGGAUGCGAGCGUUAUCCGGAUUUAUUGGGUUUAAAGGGUGCGUGGGCGGAAGGUUAAGUCAGCGGUCAAAUGUCGGUGCUCAACACCGGCCUGCCGUUGAAACUGGUCU